UGCCCAUCCCCUUUUUUUUUUUUCUUUUCUUUUCUUUUUCUCUUCCUCUUCACCGUGCCCCACCUCCAGCCGUGUUCUUCAACUGCCGCCGCUCCUUUCCUCUCUUCUUCUCCGUUCACCUGAAGCCGAACCCAUCCACCGCAACCGUCGUGCCUCCGUUUGAAAUCAAGCCAUCGUCCCGCUCGCCUCCGCACCGGUCUUCGCUGUGGAACCAGCCGCCAUGUGGUUCUGCCUUCCAGUCGUCCGUUCUGCGUGACUCCUCGGUGCAUAACCUCUUCGUUCGAGUCGUCCACCUUUCUUUACGCCAAUUUGUCCCCGUUCUGCCAAGCGUCGCCGCGUCCGUUCGUCUACCGAUUGUGAGGCAGCGUGCACUCCUUCUCCCAAUCGCGCGAGUUCCCUGCCUAUCGUGCGUAACUUUUCUUCGAUCGCCGCUCCUACUUUACUGUGAAUCGUUGGGUGGAAGAUUUGGGUACGAGGUGAGGUGGAGUUGGUUGUUGGAAUUAGUUCAACCAAGGAUUUUUGCACAAAAACGAGGUAAGGGACUUUCUACUAACUCACCUAAAGUUUUGAGUUGUGUUGGACUGUAUGGUUAUGCCGGAACUUAGUAGGGAAGAUGGUUAUGAUAUACACAUUUGGAUGCAAACUUAAUGUUUAGUGUAUAUUGUGUUUAACUGCAAAUAUAUAUAUAUAUAUAUGUAUGGGUUGAUGUGGAUUGCUGAAUGUAAACUGGAAUUAUGCAUAUACAUAAAUUGACCUAGAUUUGAUUGUUGAAUAUAUAUGGAGAUUGUUUGGGAUUAAA